GAUGAACGCUGGCAGCGUGCCUAAUACAUGCAAGUCGAGCGAACGGACGAGAAGCUUGCUUCUCUGAUGUUAGCGGCGGACGGGUGAGUAACACGUGGAUAACCUACCUAUAAGACUGGGAUAACUUCGGGAAACCGGAGCUAAUACCGGAUAAUAUUUUGAACCGCAUGGUUCAAAAGUAAAAGACGGUCUUGCUGUCACUUAUAGAUGGAUCCGCGCUGCAUUAGCUAGUUGGUAAGGUAACGGCUUACCAAGGCAACGAUGCAUAGCCGACCUGAGAGGGUGAUCGGCCACACUGGAACUGAGACACGGUCCGGACUCCUACGGGAGGCAGCAGUAGGGAAUCUUCCGCAAUGGGCGAAAGCCUGACGGAGCAACGCCGCGUGAGUGAUGAAGGUCUUCGGAUCGUAAAACUCUGUUAUUAGGGAAGAACAUAUGUGUAAGUAACUGUGCACAUCUUGACGGUACCUAAUCAGAAAGCCACGGCUAACUACGUG
rnacentral:rRNA from 1 species